CAAAAGCUUGGUCCUGACUUUACUAUCAGCUGUUACUAAACUUAUACAUGCAAGCCUCCGCACUCCCGUGAGAAUGCCCUCAAUCUCCUGAUUGGAAACGAGGAGCGGGCAUCAGGCACGCCCCGGCAGCCCAAGACGCCUUGCUUAGCCACACCCCCAAGGGAAUUCAGCAGUGAUAAACAUUAAGCCAUAAGUGAAAACUUGACUUAGUUAAAGUAUUUAGGGUCGGUAAAACUCGUGCCAGCCACCGCGGUUAUACGAGAGACCCAAGUUGAUAGACAUCGGCGUAAAGUGUGGUUAAGAUCUCCAUCACCCUAAAGUCGAACGCUUCCCAAACUGUUAUACGCACCCGGAAGCAUGAAGCCCCACUACGAAAGUGACUUUAAUUUUCUGAACCCACGACAGCUAUGACACAAACUGGGAUUAGAUACCCCAUUAUGCCUAGCCACAAACCUUGAUAGCAUUUUACAACCGCUAUCCGCCAGGGAACUACAAGCGCUAGCUUGAAACCCAAAGGACUUGGCGGUGCUUCAGACCCCCCUAGAGGAGCCUGUUCUAGAACCGAUAAUCCCCGUUCAACCUCACCAUUUCUUGUUUCUCCCGCCUAUAUACCGCCGUCGUCAGCCUACCCUCUAAAGGACUAAAAGUAGGCAAAAUAAGUACAACCCAAAACGUCAGGUCGAGGUGUAGCGAAUGAAAUGGGAAGAAAUGGGCUACAUUCUCUAUUCUUAGAGAAACACGAAAAAUGAAAUGAAAUGUUCAUCUGAAGGAGGAUUUAGCAGUAAGUAGAAAAUAGAGUGUUCUGCUGAAGCCGGCUCUGAAGCGCGUACACACCGCCCGUCACUCUCCCCGAAUUAAUCCUAACUAUUUUAUAAAAAAAUUUUAACACAAGGGGAGGCAAGUCGUAACAUGGUAAGUGUACCGGAAGGUGCACUUGGAACAAAC
rnacentral:ncRNA from 1 species